GACGAACGCUGGCGGCGUGCUUAACACAUGCAAGUCGAACGGAAAGGCCCUGCUUUUGUGGGGUGCUCGAGUGGCGAACGGGUGCGUAACACGUGAGUAACCUGCCCUUGACUUUGGGAUAACUUCAGGAAACUGGGGCUAAUACCGGAUAGGAGCUCCUGCUGCAUGGGGGGGGUUGGAAAGUUUCGGCGGUUGGGGAUGGACUCGCGGCUUAUCAGCUUGUUGGUGGGGUAGUGGCUUACCAAGGCUUUGACGGGUAGCCGGCCUGAGAGGGUGACCGGCCACAUUGGGACUGAGAUACGGCCCAGACUCCUACGGGAGGCAGCAGUGGGGAAUAUUGCACAAUGGGCGGAAGCCUGAUGCAGCAACGCCGCGUGCGGGAUGACGGCCUUCGGGUUGUAAACCGCUUUCGCCUGUGACGAAGCGUGAGUGACGGUAAUGGGUAAAGAAGCACCGGCUAACUACGUG
rnacentral:rRNA from 1 species